CUCGAGGAGCCACGUUUUUUGAGAAAAUGUGUCUCGGUUUCUUCCAUUUAAACCCUCGCUGCAGUUUUCAAAUUCAUGCAAAAUAUUCAGCAUAUUCAAGAGUUAAAAAAUUGUUGAAGUCAUUAUAAAUUUGAUAUUUCACUGCACAUUUGAGAUAUGAGUAGAAGAGCAAAGUCUUAAAGCAGAGCUUGUGAACAUAAUGAGGAUUUCCUUCAUUGUGCCAUGCGCCGCAGUGGGUGAUAAAUACGCCGCAAUGCAUGGAGCAUAAAUUAGAUUAAUAUGAUGUGUCUAGCUGGUAAAAAAUGGAAGGAAGAACAUGAGAGAAGAGAUCAAACAUGGAAAAGUGUAAGGGAUCUGCUAGGGCAAGCUAAAUCAAGAGCAAGGAUGGCGUCUCCAACUUGUUACUUAUCGGUGAAUAAAGGUAGGAGGCAUCACACCAAGGAGUGCUGGACAUAUUUCAAGUGCCACAAGAUUAGGCACAUUGAUCGUUAUUGCCUUGAGAAUGUUCCUCUUACUGACCAAAGGUCUACUAUUGAUGGUUGAGUGAUUGCUAUGUCCAGAGAGGAGGUUGAAGCUUUCCCAAAGCUUCUUUGAGAGCACGAAACUUCGACAGAGAGCAAGAGGAUGCAGAUCGCCGGUAGUGAUUUUAAUGGUUAAGCUUCAUAAUAGGAUACUUCAUAUGAGAUUUUAAGUAUUCUAAGAUUAGAUUAAUUUCUUUUUGACACCAUUCAAACUUUGGAAAGCUUUAGAAGUGUUGUAACUUGAGGAAUAACCUUUGACCUCUCAAAGGUUAAGGAGCUAGCUCAUCUCAAAAGAACAGAGGAAAGGAGCAUUAGGCCAAGUGAUAGUAAUCACUUCUGUAGGCCUUUCUCUUUUUAUUUUGAUAUGUGUAUUUAGUUUAUGAUAUUGCCAACUAAGAUAAUAUAUUCUUGAUCUACUUGCAUUAUGGGUUUUGUGUUGGGAAAAAUGUAUUUUAGGCCCUGAGGAAUGUGGUUUGAUGCUUGUGCUAUAUUAACGGGCCAAAAUAUUUGUGUAAGUGAAAAUAGUUAAUAUUUGCCUAAUUUGAGAACUUGAAUGUUGUUAUGGUCUCCCCUUAUGUUUUUGAUGUCCAAGGGUGAACAGUUGAUAUUAAUUAUAUGUGAAUGAAAAGGAAAAUUCAUGUA